CUUGGUCAUUUAGAGGAAGUAAAAGUCGUAACAAGGUUUCCGUAGGUGAACCUGCGGAAGGAUCAUUAAAGAAUCGCCCCGUUUUUUAUAGAUGGGUUCUAUUCCCAAACCGUGUAUACAUACCUUUGUUGCUUUGGCAGGCCGCCUCCGGGCGUCGGCUUCGGCUGAUUAGUGCCUGCCAGAGGACCCAAACUCGUUUGUUUAGUGAUGUCUGAGUACUAUAUAAUAGUUAAAACUUUCAACAACGGAUCUCUUGGUUCUGGCAUCGAUGAAGAACGCAGCGAAAUGCGAUAAGUAAUGUGAAUUGCAGAAUUCAGUGAAUCAUCGAAUCUUUGAACGCACAUUGCGCCCCUUGGUAUUCCGAGGGGCAUGCCUGUUCGAGCGUCAUUAUAACCACUCAAGCUCACGCUUGGUAUUGGGGUUCGCGUGCUCGCGGCCCUUAAAAUCAGUGGCGGUGCCGUCUGGCUCUAAGCGUAGUAAUUUAUCUCGCUAUUGGGUCCGGCGGUUGCUUGCCAACAACCCCCAACUUCUAAGGUUGACCUCGGAUCAGGUAGGGAUACCCGCUGAACUUAAGCAUAUCAAUAAGCGGAGGA
rnacentral:rRNA from 1 species